rnacentral:lncRNA from 1 species
AAUUCUUAACUCUUAACUUUAUAUUUUAAUUAUUAACACUCAUUAACAACUAGUUCUUAAUUCACUUAGUUGUUUAAUUCAUUCUUUAGUCCAUUUUCCUUUUUAUUCAUUUCUUUGUGUGUUUUUAUUAUUACUUUCUUCGUCAACUUUGUUAGGUCAAGUCUUUUAUUUUUAAAUGAGUCAUGCAUAGUUGUUGCAUCUCUUUUAUCAAUUGUGCUAAGAGCUAUGGGUGGAGAAACCCUUGAUACCAUCUUGGAGGAACUCCUAAGGAUAUGACUAGAUGUGAAGCAAAUGAGACAUGAAUGAGAAGUUAUGUCAUUGAUUGUGGAUUAGAAAGUAUGGAUGGUAGGUUGGAAAACCUUGUGAAACAUUCAAAAGUCUCUUAUCCUACUACUCGAUCCCAUGUCCAACCUCCCUUCAAUAUACCAAAUACUAAACAAGUUCCAUAAAUUGUUGUCCGACCACUCCAAAUUCAAUUUGAUAGAGACAAUUCCAACAUUAGGCCUUUGUUACUCACUAGCCACGAUACUAGCAUUUUACCUAGUAUCACUCUUUCAUUUGUGUAGGUUCAUGAACAAACAAUCUCAAAGGAAGAUGCAAGGAGAGUGCCUUAUAAAAAUGAGUUUGAAGGCCUAACGGAGCUCUAACCAAAGGAUUCCAAGCUUGGAAAGUUUGAAAACAAGUUGAUAAAAGAGCUGGAUUCAAAGACGAAUUCUUUUAAAGAAAGGGAGAAUGAUACAAGCCCAAUUAGAUCUACUCUUUUGAGAUCUAUGCUUCGAAAACCGCACCUAAUGAUGCAAAACUUGAUCAUUCUAGGGAAGCAAGUACGUGAUUGGAGGAUAGCUUGGUGUACGAGAGGAGC